GAUGAACGCUAGCUACAGGCUUAACACAUGCAAGUCGAGGGGUAACGAGAGGAAAGCUUGCUUUCCUUGUCGACGACCGGCGCACGGGUGAGUAACGCGUAUCCAACCUGCCCCCAACUAGGGAAUAACCUUGCGAAAGUAAGACUAAUACCCUAUAAUUUCCUCAGAUGUCAUCUGACGAGGAUUAAAGAUUUAUCGGUUGGGGAUGGGGAUGCGUCUGAUUAGCUUGUUGGCGGGGUAACGGCCCACCAAGGCAACGAUCAGUAGGGGUUCUGGGAGGAAGGUCCCCCACAUUGGAACUGAGACACGGUCCAAACUCCUACGGGAGGCAGCAGUGUGGAAUAUUGGUCAAUGGGCGGAAGCCUGAACCAGCCAAGUAGCGUGCAGGAUGACGGCCCUAUGGGUUUAAACUGCUUUUAUACAGGAAUAAAGUUAGCCACGUGUGGUUAUUUGUAGGUACUGUAUGAAUAAGGACCGGCUAAUUCCGUGCCAGCCGCCGCCGUAA
rnacentral:rRNA from 1 species